rfam:Myotis brandtii contig274832, whole genome shotgun sequence.
GGUGGUUCUCGGGUGACGCACUCUGGAAUCAGGCUCCCUCCUCCCUGGUUCCAGGUGCAUCACCUGAGAACCACA